AAACUUGUAAUAUUAAAAAUAGUAACAAUAAAUAAGAUUAUGAUUCUGACUUUGAUUCAUAGCUUGGACGAUGACGUCGAUUAGAUUGAUAGACCAGAGAGAGAGCUAUGGAUAUUUGUGUAUUAAUUGGUGUAGGCACUUGAUCGCAAGGUGACUGCUUCUACUACUUUCAAUCGUGAGCUACAGCUUUUGUGCAUUGAGUGAUAUAGAGAUCAGCAACAGUCCGCGAGAUUAUUGAAGUUACAAAACCUGCGGAAUUUGUCAAUCGUCAUCACGAUUAUUAAGUUUGGAUUAAGCAUUAUUUCCAAUCAGAUUCUCUGCAAAGUGUAGUGAUAAAAUUAAACUAGACCUUCAAGUGCAGUGAAGUGUCAAAGAGGUUAACCAGAUGCGAAAAAGAUGCUACCACCAUGAAUUACAGACGAAAGAUUAAAUAAGCGAUGGAUGGACCUAACGGUCACAUCUCCAGGGUCACCCAAUCAGAAAGGCCGUCCUCAGAGAAAGUCGAGUGCACAGCUUGCCUUCGCGUGACAGUACUCACGUCUACAAAUUUGAAAGUCCACAUAAUUUAGAACUCAAUCGUUUGUUUAUGUGGAAAAUUGUUAGUCAGGUGAUUUGUCACUUGACGACUCUGCGGGAUUUCGUUUUCCAUUCCCGUUGGGUGAAUAGCUCGGUGAAACAGCUUACAUUAGGGCUUAGCACCGUGGACGGGAGGUUCAAGGUGAGAAAACCGUAGAAGCGCCCAAAGGAAGAACAGAGUCACUGAGAAGAAGCAAUCCACACAAAACCUUAUCACGGACAAGAACCAAAACCACAUACCCUGAACUGCGGCUGUAAGUGGAGAUAAUUGUUGCAACCAUACAGAGAUCCCAGCUCAUCAAACAUCGCCAGAUCACGGAGAGGUUCACAUCUAUCUAGCCGCCACCUGAGCGCACGAUGAAGCCACAGCUGUGGUGUUUCAAGCCCAGCCGCUCUCAUGCUCUGCCUUAGAGGUGAGGCAAAUAUAACAACAUCAACGACGACCGAACAAAGCAGUCAGUAGGAACCCGAAACGACACCCAACAGCAAAACAUACAAGAAAACCCCUAAGAAUAACCAGCUCGGACGAACACCCACACAUCAAAGAAACAAUUUUGCUCAUACACGAGAGUAUUACUGGAAUGCACAAAGCGAGGGAGGCACAAGACUCCUACAGCACAAU
rnacentral:lncRNA from 1 species